rnacentral:rRNA from 1 species
AGAGUUUGAUCCUGGCUCAGGACGAACGCUGGCGGCGCGCCUAACACAUGCAAGUCGAACGAGAGAGAGGGAGCUUGCUUCCUUGAUCGAGUGGCGAACGGGUGAGCAACGCGUGAGGAACCUGCCUCAAAGAGGGGGACAACAGUUGGAAACGACUGCUAAUACCGCAUAAGCCCACGGCUCGGCAUCGAGCAGAGGGAAAAGGAGCAAUCCGCUUUGAGAUGGCCUCGCGUCCGAUUAGCUAGUUGGUGAGGUAACGGCCCACCAAGGCGACGAUCGGUAGCCGGACUGAGAGGUUGGACGGCCACAUUGGGACUGAGACACGGCCCAGACUCCUACGGGAGGCAGCAGUGGGGAAUAUUGCACAAUGGGGGAAACCCUGAUGCAGCGACGCCGCGUGGAGGAAGAAGGUCUUCGGAUUGUAAACUCCUGUUGUUGAGGAAGAUAAUGACGGUACUCAACAAGGAAGUGACGGCUAACUACGUGCCAGCAGCCGCGGUAAAACGUAGGUCACAAGCGUUGUCCGGAAUUACUGGGUGUAAAGGGAGCGCAGGCGGGCGAUCAAGUUGGAAGUGAAAUCCAUGGGCUCAACCCAUGGACUGCUUUCAAAACUGAUUGUCUUGAGUAGUGCAGAGGUAGGCGGAAUUCCCGGUGUAGCGGUGGAAUGCGUAGAUAUCGGGAGGAACACCAGUGGCGAAGGCGGCCUACUGGGCACCAACUGACGCUGAGGCUCGAAAGUGUGGGUAGCAAACAGGAUUAGAUACCCUGGUAGUCCACACCGUAAACGAUGAUUACUAGGUGUUGGAGGAUUGACCCCUUCAGUGCCGCAGUUAACACAAUAAGUAAUCCACCUGGGGAGUACGACCGCAAGGUUGAAACUCAAAGGAAUUGACGGGGGCCCGCACAAGCAGUGGAGUAUGUGGUUUAAUUCGACGCAACGCGAAGAACCUUACCAAGUCUUGACAUCCUGCGGCGAUGCUAGAAAUAGUAUUUUCCUUCGGGACGCAGAGACAGGUGGUGCAUGGUUGUCGUCAGCUCGUGUCGUGAGAUGUUGGGUUAAGUCCCGCAACGAGCGCAACCCUUAUGGUCAGUUACUACGCAAGAGGACUCUGGCCAGACUGCCGUUGACAAAACGGAGGAAGGUGGGGAUGACGUCAAAUCAUCAUGCCCUUUAUGACUUGGGCUACACACGUACUACAACGGCGUUAAACAAAGAGAAGCAAGACCGCGAGGU